AACUCUCUUUGUUUGAAAAGUGUAAGGGGACUAGUUUGUAGUAUCCCUAAAAAGGUUUGCAGAUCAAGAGUGGAACUGGGUUUCAAAGGCCCCAGGGCCUUUUCUUGUCCUGUUGCCUCUGCCUGGACCAUUUUCUGUCCUUCCUCUCUACUUCCUCUUCCCGGGCCAACUUUUAUUCCCUCUCCCAGUCUUUUGCUAACAGCCACUUCCUCAGGAAAGCUUUCCCCAGCCCCUGCGGCUAGGGCAGGUUGCCCCAUUACCCACUCUCAUCACACCCUGCACUUUGCCAGUGCAGCUGUCUUCAGUACUAUAAUUAAAUGAUGAUGUGUGCACAGCUAUUUGGACAAUGACUACCCAUAUUCAUUAGUCGUUGGGCAUUUUGUAAAUUAUCUUAUAAUUGAGCUAAUUGUAAUCUUUAAGCAGUAAUAUUACACAACAAAAACGUGUAUAAUUAUUAUUAAACUAAUAAUGUUGUCUCUCUGGCUAGAUAUUAACCUCCUUGAGGGCAGGGACUGCUUGGACCUGUAUGUAAUGGGGUGCCCAGUGCCUGAUACUGUGCCUAACACAUAGGUGGAGGUCAAAAUAUAUGUUGAAUAAAUCAAUGUAUGAGUUUGUCCAUGAGGGCAAUAAAGGGGAAAACGUAAGGGGAAAAGCAUCCAGAGAAUAGUUCCCACUGGUUUAGGCUAGACAAGCAAUGUACCAAUGUUUUGGUUGCCCCAGAGUCCCUAGUACGGAGCUAUUUCCUACAUCAUUCACCAUCCUGAGCACAGAGACCUUCUGAAGUCUUAUUCCAUUGUUGCCUUUAACAGCAAAGAAAAAAGAAACUUGGAAGCCAGCUCCCUGGAUGUACU
rnacentral:lncRNA from 1 species